rnacentral:sRNA from 1 species
GCCGGGCAUGGUGGCGCAUGCCUGUAGUCCCAGUUACUCGGGAGGCUGAGGCAGAAGAAUCUCUUGAACCCAGGAGGCAGAGGUUGCAGUGAGCCGAGGUCACGCCACUGCACUCCAUCCUGGGUGACAGAGCGAGAUUCCGUCUCAA